UUGACCUCAAAUCAGGUAGGACUACCCGCUGAACUUAAGCAUAUCAAUAAGCGGAGGAAAAGAAACUAACAAGGAUUCCCCUAGUAACUGCGAGUGAAGCGGGACAAGCUCAAAUUUAAAAUCUGGCAGAUGUUUGUCUGUCCGAGUUGUAACCUA
rnacentral:rRNA from 1 species